rnacentral:piRNA from 1 species
UGAACCAAGGAAAGGCUGGGAAUGCUGC